GACUGUAGAGUGUUAGUGAGUAACGUAUUGAGGGGGAAUACAGGGCUACAUGUAAUUAGUGUAAUAGCGUGCACUUUUAACACAGCAGGUCAUAAACACACAGAUUUACAGUGACGCUAAGGGGGAAGAAUACGUUCUACAUGAUAAACCGUUACCAGAUUUAAUGUGGAAUUAGUCCAUCUGGAUAUAAGGAGCCAAAACUUUCAGGAAUAAUAAUUAUGUCAGAGACAAAGGAACAAGAAGCGCAAGGAUACCCUCCUCAGCCGGGAUAUCCCCCACAACAAGGAUAUCCCCCACAGCAGGGAUACCCUCCUCAGCAGGGUUAUCCCCCUCAGCAACAAGGAUACCCACAACAACAGGGAUACCCCCAGCAACAAGGAUACCCACCACAACAGGGAUAUCCCCAACCGGGCCAUGCCCAAUACCCUGGAGGUGGUAAUGUCAUUGUAACCCAGCCCCAGAGUACACUGAUCAACGUGCAGAAACCCCCGGAUUAUCUGGGAUUCUCCAUCUUUGUGUUGCUCUGUUGUUGCUGUCCAAUUGGGGUAGCAUCAAUAAUGUAUUCAUGCGGGUCACGUGAUGCCUUCACUGCUGGAGAUGUGAACACUGCUCAAGCCAAGGGAUCAACCGCCCGUACUUUAAACAUAGUUGGCCUAGUACUGGGUAUUAUUUUGUUUAUAAUGGGUACUAUUUUCAGAUUCUUAAUAUAUGCAUAGUCCGUACAUUCCCUUGUUUUUAUUCAUUCUAUACUUAAUAAAAACAUGGUAAUGGCCGGACUUUUUCUUUUUUUAGAAUCCUCGCAUUUGCGGGUUAAUAUAGGCUGCCAGACAAAACACUCUGUGCUUCCAAUAACAUUUUAUUUUAUAUUGUUUUUGUCAAUUUAUUUAUCGAUUUGUACAACAAUUAUUAUUUAUAUAUAUCAUACAAAUAGCUCUACCCUCUUAUGCAUUUAAAGGACAAUAUUGGUGUCAGGCAUUAUCACAUAGGGGAUAGAACUGGUUAAAAACGUUUCAAAUAUCAUUUUAACACAGACAUCAUUGCUACGAUAGAUGCAUUAUGAAGAUUUCAAGAAACGGAACUGGCGAACGCACGAGGUAAACGCGACAAAUGUCCGUGCAUUACCAUGUUUUUAUUAAGUAAAAAAUGAAUAAAAACAUGGGAAUGUACGAAUUAUUUCUAGUUUUAUCGUUAUCUCUUAUCUAGUGACAGAAAUUUAUUCUUUUUGAAUUGUCAGCUAUCCUCCCACAGAUAAAACAACUUUUGUUCGUCUUUGAAGGAAUUAUUAGUAAGCUCGUUUAUCUGUUAUCACUCGUCACUUCAGUUAGUUAUAUAGAAGGAUAACUCGUGUUAUCCUUUUGCGUUCGUCACUUCUGUUUCUUGAAAUCUUCAUACCGCAUCUAUCGUAGCUGUGAUCUCUGUGUUAAAAUCGUAUUUGGAAUGUGUUUAACCAGUUCUAUAACGACCAAUAUUAUACUUUAAGGUGUUAUUAUUGAACAAUUGUCUUACUUUCUACCCCACCUCUUCGUGAUUAGAAAUUUAUUACCCACAGCCUAGACAAGAACGGCAAUUUUCACACGUACUCCAAGAUCAAGUGAAUUUAUUUCGUAACUGUGUCGUUUCGCAAUCGGUUAUCAGUACCAAAUAAAACAAAACACGAAAUAAUCAUUGCGCAGUCCAGCAAACACGAAUACGUCUUUAACUUCUUGGCCUGGCUUAGCUGUGAGCUUAUAACCGAAAGGUCAAGGCAAGACGGAGCGACGAGGUACGGAUUUCAUAUCCAUGUGAAGUAAAUGGAAAUUGGUGUCAUUGCAAAUACCUUUUUUAAAACGCCCACAUUUAAGUAUAGUUUAUAUAUAUUGUCGCUACACCAGUUCGUUGACGUUCUGGGGGCCCAAGUUAUCUAAUUCUUCUGGAAUUCAUACAAAAUGUCGAUUUUCAUUAAGGCAAGACGGAGCGAGGAGGUGCGGAUUCCAUAUCCAUGUAAAGUAAAUGGAAAUUGGUGUCAUUGCAAAUACCUUUUUUAAAACGCCUACAUUUAAGUAUAGUUAAAUAUUGUCGCUACACCAGUUCGUUGACGUUCUGGGGGCCCAAGUUAUCUAAUUCUUCUGGAACCCGUACACAAUGUCGAUUUUCAUUAGACGAAGAUAUCUUUGAUUCAAUGAUUUCCGAUAUCUCAAACAGUUAAAGUUAUCAUCUGGUUAUAGGUAUAUAUUUUAUUUAUCACCCAAUAAUACCUUCUACAGUAGAUAUCGCUCGUGUGAUAUAUUUCAUAAUCUACUGCGAUAUCUCCUUAGGAGAUAUAUCGCUUUACAUGAAUUUGAUUGGUCAGUUGAAAAGGAACUACUUUUUUUAUUUUCAAAGAACAGUUCAUUUCUUAUUAAAAGUAACUUUUUAAAAUUAAAGAUGAACUAUUGUUAUUCAAUUGACCUUGAUGGAAACACUGGGUCAAUAUAAAGGACUUUGCAAUGGUUGAAUUGCUGUCAAAAAUUGAUGUAUCACUACGCCGUAAUGUUCAGUAAAAGUGAAAUCUACAACAAAGAAUUAUAUUAUCUAUUUGUGCAUGUAAGAAGGGAUUGGGUGAUAAAUAAAAUCUCCUACUCGUCUUUUUUGAUAUCAAAAAAUAUCAACACUUGUUGAUAAAGUAAAAAAAAAACUCGGCAGAGCCUCGUUUUUUGUUACUUUAUCAACUUGUGUUGAUAUUUUUUGAUAUAAAAAAAGACUGGUAGGAGAUUCUCUAUAUAUUGACUAUAUAAGUUUAGUUAUUUCUGAUUACCGAGUAGAUUUUUUAUUCCUGAUCAGUGGUUAAUGUCUUUAAAUGUUCCUAUUACCUCAAACGAAUCAAUUGUGACAAGCACUGGGGACCGUAGGUCGAAUGAGUAGCAGUGUGUGUAUGAUUCCUUGCCUGGGAAGCUAUCUUUUGAUUAUUGCUUUGACCUAAUGGAAAUAUAAUGUACAAGUUUUUACAUCUUGUUCUUUCUUACACCAAUAAAUUGAUCAUUUACUACUCUAUGCAUAAUGGUGUUUUACACACAUGUAAACAUGUAUUUCUGUGUUUUUGUGUAAUUUGUUUUAUUAAGAAAAAUAAAUAAGAAAAUGUAGAGGAGAUAA